CCCAAUGCUUCUUAUUUCCAAACAGGAAAAAAGUUUCAUAUCUUUCAGAAACCAGUUCAUUAAUACAGGCAAAUUCCACUGCUUGAUACUUCAUCAGUGUCAAAAAGCUUACUGAUUACAACAGAAGUGGCAUGUUGUUCUGGACUUCCACAGAAACACUCUUCACUCACCUGAGACCAAGUAGUAAUACCACAGAGCAAUUCUGCAGAAGUUUGGGGUUUUUUUUUUAAAGAAAAGCACACUGGGGCAAUGCUACUCUUUGUCAAGACAGUUUUGAAGUAAAUCUAUAUGAUAUGACAUUAAAGUUGUUGGUUGCAGUCGGAACAUUAAUUGUAUUGAAGGCUCCCAAUAUAAUCAGACAUUUUUAGACUGUCUCACUAGAGCAGGCAAAAUGAGCUUUAACUUCAUUACUGUUCUCACAGAUAGAUAAUAGAGAAUAGUUUAUAUAUUGAUAGAACCUACUGAGGCUGCGGUGCAGACUGCAGCUGCUGAACUUGUUACUCAUGAGAGCAGUGCACAAUUCAGAUAAGACUAUUAAAUGUCCAUUUUAGAGUGGGUCUCUGUGGAGUAUAAUCUACCUCAACAUGACUGACUCUUAAGUAUGUAUCUCAAUUGCUGACGUUUUUAUUGUCAGUGGCUUGCACCCUCAUAUCUACCUGCCAACGCUAAAAACUGAGGUUCCUUAGUGCUUUUCACUCCAAGAAUGCAUUGGCAUUAGGUCUUCUGGCUUUAGUCUUUUAACACCCUGAUUGUACCUUCAUCAAGACACUAUUGCAUCCUGUAUUGUUAUGUAUACAAAUUUCACCAUAGCUCAUACAUUCCGUGUCUGUAAGAAAGUCUAGACAGCAAAGGAUACUAUGUGGACUUUUAGUAUUAGGAAGAUUCUUUUCAGCGAGGCAGAAUAUUGCUACGUAAUGGGACAUCAUCCAGGAUAAGUGAUGUUAUAAAACUGAUAUAUAAUCCUGUUCCCAAACUUUCUACCCGCAGUGGGGAUAUUCCCUAAUCUAAUUGUUUUAUUUCUUGUUCCUGGCAUUCCUUUUUAGUUACUGUUUAUUACCUGAGUUAUGCAAACCAGUUCUGUCCUGCUUGUCUUUGGAGACGGACUCAAAUACUUGUGGUUCUUUUCCUUUUUUUGAAGCUGUGGUACCUUUGCCAAUACCUGAAAAAGUGUAAUUGCAGCAUUUUCCUGCAACAUUUUCAUUUUAAAAGG